GAAUAUACAGAGGGGUGAGGGCCAAGGAGGGGUGAGCUCGUCAGGGUGAAGGGGAGUCGUGUAGCUCCCUGGUAUGUUUUGCGGCCGUUUUAUUAGUUUUAGUUCAUGUUUUAAAACCAUCGCGCAAAUUAAAAUUGGCUACUCGAGUGGACUGUUGUGAAGCACUACAGCUACAUCCUUCUUGGUUUCUUCUUGUAAUUUUGCACAACUUUGUUAACGAGCUUCACAGGUGCAGUGCCUUCAUCUUUGGUGGCUUCUCGGGUCUCUGAUGUUUCAAGUCCUUCAUGACAUGCUCAUGAUCAGGCAGAAGGUGACUUUAUUCAGAAUAUGAAAUAAUAUUCAGUGAGAACAAAGAGCGCUCUUCUGUAGCUGUUGUGGUGGGAAGUAGCAAGAGAUUAAUCCCUACAUCUUUCAUCCCAGGAAACAUAGCACAAAGAUUGGGUCCAACCACUAGUGACGAUGAAGUUGGUGAAGUCAAAUCUUCAUUUGUUCCUCAUAUGAUAUUCCAUUCUGUGUUCAAAUUCUCUAUUCUACCCUGAUCACAUAGCAGCCCUCACUCUGCUCAACUGUCAAUAUUUUGUAAGUUUAAGAGGGGUAGCCGUGUUUUAUGACCGUCAUCUGUAAAAGCUAUGUAGAGGUCUAAUAGAAUCCAGAAGUUGCUGUUGUAGAUUUGGAAGAAUCAAGUAUGUUUGCCUUUUCCGAUGGCUUAACAAACACUUCUUUUUCUCUUCACUUAAGGAGUCAAUAUAAGUGCCUUACUUAAUCAACUUCUGAACCAAGUCUUUGCAUCUUUCAGUAUAUUUUCAAUGGACAUCUCUCUGAUUGAUCCAAGUGUUGGUUUCUAUUGCUGGACAAAGAUCUACUACUGUUGUAGCAGAAUGCAUUGUUUAAUGACGCAAGUGGUUUCAACAGUAGAGUUACAAGAGGCAGAAUGGCGACAGUCUUCUCUGAACUUAGUAGCAAAAGUAGUCCACCAGCCUCACUACUUAGAUCCAUCCCAUCUUGAUAGAUACUUUGCAAAGCCAGUAAUAAUGGUUGCAGUAAUUUUAAGACAACAAUCAAGGAUCACUCAUGAAAAAGCCAGCACGUUUUGCCAAGCUGGACUAAUUUGAACUUGCCAGUGUAUCGUCUCUUUUUUUCCAAGACUUUUAGUUCCUUAGGACUCUUGCUGGAAAAAAAAGUGUAACAAAGAUGAUAAAUCUAUGGCUUUUUUAAUGUCUUUUGAAGAUUCUGCAGCUCAUACUAGUGCUAGUUGGAGUAGAUGGCUUCUGUGGUGUGUAUAGGAGAGAUUACGGUUACACUUUUCUCUGAGCAAAGCUUGUACUCUACUAGGUCUUCUAGAGAAAUUUGCAGCUCCAUCAAAUACACAGGCAGCCCUCUGUUUGGGGUCAAGUUUACAAGCAUUUAUCUCUUCUAUGAUGUGAGUUGUUACAGAUGCUUCUGAUAUGUUUUCUAAUACCUGAACAUCUAGAAAUGCAUCUUCUGGCCUGCCACUAACAUUAAGAUAAUGUACACGAUGACUUAAUACUGGAUGCCCAUUUGCAUCGGUGCAUUCAUCAGUCCAGGGAGACAAAGGGAAAAGAAAGAAGAACAGGUGACAGAUCCUAGUCACAUCAGUUAAUGCACUUCUGAAUGGCACUCCAGUACCAGGGUGAUGGGAAUAGUAAAAGAACCUGAAAAGAAUGAACAGAAUCUCUUUUCCCAGGCUUUUGCGUGAGGCAUGAAGGGACCUGGACCUGCAACUGCAACUGUGCACCCAGUGGUUACCAGGGACAGGAGGAGCUCAGGAACCAGGAGACCGCUAGUGUUGGCAAUCACUGGAACCAGGAACAAGGAGAAGGCUGAAAACGUCAUUAUGCAAUCCUGAAAGUAAAGCAGCUUGCCAAAUGAAUCCAAAUGGAUGAAAUGGAUAUGGGAUAGUCUGGUAAUGGAAGAGUUCACAGCUGUGCUUUGAAAGAUAAACGGCAGCAUUACUGUGCAGUUUGGUCUUAGUUUAAGAAUGUAUGAUGGAAUCUCAGUUAAAUGCAAAUCAGCUGUAGACUUUAGUAGUUUUGUUCUUGAUUAAGUCUGUUUAAUCAGUCUCUCUGAGUGGUAAAUAGCUGACUUGUAUUUCAUCCUAUUAUAAUGAACUAAAACCUCAGGUAUGAGAACACAUGCUGACAUGUUGUUAUCAGUCUGACUGGCAUGAGAGUAAAUAUCUCCUAUCCUAUGGGGGGUUGUUUUGUGUUCUAAUGUUACAAUGUGGAAAUUAAAACUAAGAUAAAUUGGUAAUGGUUUAUAAGCUAUAAGAUUUUAAAAUAGACUAACUGUGUUUGCUAAAAUUUAAACCUAAUAUUUUGUAAAUGUUUGUGGAUAUCAUAAAUAAGACUAAGAUUCUGUCAUAGUUAGUUAUUUUUAGUAAAAGUCACAGACAGCUCACAGGCAAUAAACAAAAAUUCACGGAAGCCGUGACCUGUCUGUGACUUUUGCUGCUGCGACUCCAUGCUUUCCCCUGCCUCCAUAGUGGCUGGAAGCUGUGGGGUUCCCCCUCUGCCCACAGCAGCUGGGAGCUGCAGGAUGGCCAUAUUUCCCAAAGAGAAAACAGGACACCCUCAGCCACUUGCCUGAGGUGUGUGUCCCCACUUCCCUUCCCCGCCCCCUCUGUUCCCAUGUGGCUAUAACCCGUUGCUGGAACUGAAGUCUGUCACCUGUCAUUGGAACCCUGCCAAGGCCCUGCUGGCUGCCAGCUCCAGAGUACCACAGCCCCAGGGGCUGAAGCAGAGAAUGUCACAGAGAUCUCUGAAAGUCACAGAUUCACAGAACAAAUAAUUCUCCAGCAGUUAAGACCACAUAGUUACACUUCUUUUUAUUUACUAAUUGAUAAGAAAUUUCAACUAUUUACAAGUAGUCUCAUUACAUCUUUUUUGUGAAUUUCCUUCUUUUGGGUAGUUGUCUUCAAUUGUUUGAAUUAACAUGAAAAAUCCAGUGAUUAAAAAAUAUAAACUUUGAUUAUGCAAGAGUAACAGAUUCAGUAAAAAUAGCUUAUAAGAAAUUUGGUUGCUAGAUACAUUUUUGAGCAUUCUCACAAUUGCAACCCCAUUAGUCAUCUGCAUUCUAUGUAAAAUAAGGCCCCUUUUCUGCAAACACUUCUGCACAUGCUUAACAUAACCCUCAUAAGUAGUCCCACUGAAGCCAAAAUCCAACAUGUACCUAGCUUUACUUGUGUGUUUGUAGGAUGCAAAUGAUCAGUAAAUUACUUAACUGGCAGUUCUAUACUAGUUUAAAAUAGAUGUAAGCCCUCACAUUAUUAGAACACAUUCAGAAUACUAGGAUUUUUCCAGCAAAGUCUAAGUUAAACAAAGAGGUAAUGCAAUUAAUUCCUAUGAAAGGCUGACUUCCUCUGUGUACAGUAUAUAUAGGCUUGGAAGGAUUCCAUUUUUAAUCGGUAAAUAUCAAUUUCACCAGGCACACACAAAUCAACAAAACAAUAUUUUCAUUGAUAAUCAAAAUUUAAAGGUAGGCAUAGAAAGAAAAGUACUGCUUGAGAACUUAGAGUUAAAGUCAACUUUGAAUUAGGCUUGUUACAUAUGAACUAGUGAAUGAAUAUUAAAAACAUUUGUGAUGUUGAUUUAAAGAUAUUUACUUUGUGUAUUUUGACUUGAUGCUGACAAUUUGUGUUUUGAUGGUUUAUAAAGCUUUAAUUUUUUGAAUCUCAACAUUUGUCAUUAAAUAAUUGUCCGACCCUCCCUAUAAUUCCCAUAAUUGUGAACAUUCAAACAGAUAAAAAUCUAAAAUGCUUAAAACCCAUAAUUUUGCACAACUUUGAAAAUGUUCAUGUAUAAAAAUAAAACUGCUUAAAAAUUAGCACUGAUAUUACACAUCAAAAUUAUUUAAAAAAAUUGAAUUUUGCAUAUGCUCUACCUGCUGCCCAGUCAACAGCCUGUAGCAAUAUUACUGAUGUAAUCCUUUUGAGAAAGCAUCUCCAGGCACCCUAGGUAAAGUGAUACAUUGAGAAGUGGGUUGGAAAAAUAUGAUUUAAAAUAAAGGCAAGUCUUGCAGAUGGGUGCUUAGCCAAUGCAGAACUGUCAUGCAGGUAAACAGCCUGUAUACACAUGCGAGACAGUGGAAGUGUACUCUAAAUACCUCUGAAACAUGAGUGGAAAAGGAAAACAUUUAAAAAAAACGAGUAAUAUAAUCUUAACGAGAUAUUUGUACAAUACUUUUACAUAUUGUCUCAUAUUCUAGAAUCUAAAUAUCCCAAGGUGCUGAAUGAAUUAUAUGCUGUCAGUGCAGUAACUGUGAGCAAAUGGAGUGCCCAUACAUUCAACACAUACUUAGGCCAUGGCUACACUAGAGAGUUGCAGCGCUGGUGAGGGGGUUACAGCGCUGCAACUUAGGA